rnacentral:rRNA from 1 species
CCUACGGGUGGCAGCAGUGAGGAAUAUUGGUCAAUGGACGCAAGUCUGAACCAGCCAUGCCGCGUGCAGGAAGACGGCUCUAUGAGUUGUAAACUGCUUUUGUACGAGGGUAAACGCAGAUACGCGUAUCUGUCUGAAAGGAUCGUACGAAUAAGGAUCGGCUAACUCCGUGCCAGCAGCCGCGGUAAUACGGAGGAUUCAAGCGUUAUCCGGAUUUAGUGGGUUUAAAGGGUGCGUAGGCGGUCGGAUAAGUUAGAGGUGAAAUCCCGAGGCUCAACUUCGGAAUUGCCUCUGAUACUGUUCGGCUCGAGAGUAGGUGCGGUAGGCGGAAUGUAUGGUGUAGCGGUGAAAUGCGUAGAGAUCAUACAGAACACCGAUUGCGAAGGCAGCUUACCAAGCUACUUCUGACGUUGAGGCACGAAAGCGUGGGGAGCAAACAGGAUUAGAUACCCGAGUAGUC